AACGGUAGUGUAGUAAACAGAGUGAGUACGGUAGUGUAGUAAACAGAGUGAGUACGGUAGUGUGCUAAACAGAGUGAGUACGGUAGUGUACUAAACAGAGUGAGUAUUGUAGUGUGCUAAACAGAGUGAGUACGGUAGUAAACAGAGUGAGUAGUGUACUAAACAGAGUGAGUACGGUAGUGUACUAAACAGAGUGAGUACGGUAGUGUACUAAACAGAGUGAGUACGGUAGUGUACUAAACAGAGUGAGUACGGUAGUGUACUAAACAGAGUGAGUAAGGUAGUGUGCUAAACAGAGUGAGUACGUUAGUAAACAGAGUGAGUACGGUAGUGCGCUAAACAGAGUGAGUACGGCAGUAAACAGAGUGAGCACGGGAGCAAACAGAGUGAGCACGGUAGCAAA
rnacentral:lncRNA from 1 species